GGUCCCGUGUCUCAGUUGGUCUUAUGAGCCGAAGGUCGCGGGUUCGAGCCCCGCCGGGACCC
rnacentral:tRNA from 1 species